rnacentral:rRNA from 1 species
GGGUUGUGAGGUUAAGCGACUAAGCGUACACGGUGGAUGCCCUGGCAGUCAGAGGCGAUGAAGGACGUGCUAAUCUGCGAUAAGCGUCGGUAAGGUGAUAUGAACCGUUAUAACCGGCGAUUUCCGAAUGGGGAAACCCAGUGUGUUUCGACACACUAUCAUUAACUGAAUCCAUAGGUUAAUGAGGCGAACCGGGGGAACUGAAACAUCUAAGUACCCCGAGGAAAAGAAAUCAACCGAGAUUCCCCCAGUAGCGGCGAGCGAACGGGGAGCAGCCCAGAGCCUGAAUCAGUGUGUGUGUUAGUGGAAGCGUCUGGAAAGGCGCGCGAUACAGGGUGACAGCCCCGUACACAAAAAUGCACAUGCUGUGAGCUCGAUGAGUAGGGCGGGACACGUGGUAUCCUGUCUGAAUAUGGGGGGACCAUCCUCCAAGGCUAAAUACUCCUGACUGACCGAUAGUGAACCAGUACCGUGAGGGAAAGGCGAAAAGAACCCCGGCGAGGGGAGUGAAAAAGAACCUGAAACCGUGUACGUACAAGCAGUGGGAGCCUCUUAAUGGGGUGACUGCGUACCUUUUGUAUAAUGGGUCAGCGACUUAUAUUCUGUAGCAAGGUUAACCGAAUAGGGGAGCCGAAGGGAAACCGAGUCUUAACUGGGCGUUAAGUUGCAGGGUAUAGACCCGAAACCCGGUGAUCUAGCCAUGGGCAGGUUGAAGGUUGGGUAACACUAACUGGAGGACCGAACCGACUAAUGUUGAAAAAUUAGCGGAUGACUUGUGGCUGGGGGUGAAAGGCCAAUCAAACCGGGAGAUAGCUGGUUCUCCCCGAAAGCUAUUUAGGUAGCGCCUCGUGAAUUCAUCUCCGGGGGUAGAGCACUGUUUCGGCAAGGGGGUCAUCCCGACUUACCAACCCGAUGCAAACUGCGAAUACCGGAGAAUGUUAUCACGGGAGACACACGGCGGGUGCUAACGUCCGUCGUGAAGAGGGAAACAACCCAGACCGCCAGCUAAGGUCCCAAAGUCAUGGUUAAGUGGGAAACGAUGUGGGAAGGCCCAGACAGCCAGGAUGUUGGCUUAGAAGCAGCCAUCAUUUAAAGAAAGCGUAAUAGCUCACUGGUCGAGUCGGCCUGCGCGGAAGAUGUAACGGGGCUAAACCAUGCACCGAAGCUGCGGCAGCGACGUUUAUGCGUUGUUGGGUAGGGGAGCGUUCUGUAAGCCUGCGAAGGUGUACUGUGAGGUAUGCUGGAGGUAUCAGAAGUGCGAAUGCUGACAUAAGUAACGAUAAAGCGGGUGAAAAGCCCGCUCGCCGGAAGACCAAGGGUUCCUGUCCAACGUUAAUCGGGGCAGGGUGAGUCGACCCCUAAGGCGAGGCCGAAAGGCGUAGUCGAUGGGAAACAGGUUAAUAUUCCUGUACUUGGUGUUACUGCGAAGGGGGGACGGAGAAGGCUAUGUUGGCCGGGCGACGGUUGUCCCGGUUUAAGCGUGUAGGCUGGUUUUCCAGGCAAAUCCGGAAAAUCAAGGCUGAGGCGUGAUGACGAGGCACUACGGUGCUGAAGCAACAAAUGCCCUGCUUCCAGGAAAAGCCUCUAAGCAUCAGGUAACAUCAAAUCGUACCCCAAACCGACACAGGUGGUCAGGUAGAGAAUACCAAGGCGCUUGAGAGAACUCGGGUGAAGGAACUAGGCAAAAUGGUGCCGUAACUUCGGGAGAAGGCACGCUGAUAUGUAGGUGAAGUCCCUCGCGGAUGGAGCUGAAAUCAGUCGAAGAUACCAGCUGGCUGCAACUGUUUAUUAAAAACACAGCACUGUGCAAACACGAAAGUGGACGUAUACGGUGUGACGCCUGCCCGGUGCCGGAAGGUUAAUUGAUGGGGUUAGCGGUAACGCGAAGCUCUUGAUCGAAGCCCCGGUAAACGGCGGCCGUAACUAUAACGGUCCUAAGGUAGCGAAAUUCCUUGUCGGGUAAGUUCCGACCUGCACGAAUGGCGUAAUGAUGGCCAGGCUGUCUCCACCCGAGACUCAGUGAAAUUGAACUCGCUGUGAAGAUGCAGUGUACCCGCGGCAAGACGGAAAGACCCCGUGAACCUUUACUAUAGCUUGACACUGAACAUUGAGCCUUGAUGUGUAGGAUAGGUGGGAGGCUUUGAAGUGUGGACGCCAGUCUGCAUGGAGCCGACCUUGAAAUACCACCCUUUAAUGUUUGAUGUUCUAACGUUGGCCCCUUACCGGGGUUGCGGACAGUGUCUGGUGGGUAGUUUGACUGGGGCGGUCUCCUCCUAAAGAGUAACGGAGGAGCACGAAGGUUGGCUAAUCCUGGUCGGACAUCAGGAGGUUAGUGCAAUGGCAUAAGCCAGCUUGACUGCGAGCGUGACGGCGCGAGCAGGUGCGAAAGCAGGUCAUAGUGAUCCGGUGGUUCUGAAUGGAAGGGCCAUCGCUCAACGGAUAAAAGGUACUCCGGGGAUAACAGGCUGAUACCGCCCAAGAGUUCAUAUCGACGGCGGUGUUUGGCACCUCGAUGUCGGCUCAUCACAUCCUGGGGCUGAAGUAGGUCCCAAGGGUAUGGCUGUUCGCCAUUUAAAGUGGUACGCGAGCUGGGUUUAGAACGUCGUGAGACAGUUCGGUCCCUAUCUGCCGUGGGCGCUGGAGAACUGAGGGGGGCUGCUCCUAGUACGAGAGGACCGGAGUGGACGCAUCACUGGUGUUCGGGUUGUCAUGCCAAUGGCACUGCCCGGUAGCUAAAUGCGGAAGAGAUAAGUGCUGAAAGCAUCUAAGCACGAAACUUGCCCCGAGAUGAGUUCUCCCUGACUCCUUGAGAGUCCUGAAGGAACGUUGAAGACGACGACGUUGAUAGGCCGGGUGUGUAAGCGCAGCGAUGCGUUGAGCUAACCGGUACUAAUGAACCGUGAGGCUUAACCUUACAACGCCGAAGGUGUUU